rnacentral:rRNA from 1 species
GACGAACGCUGGCGGCGUGCCUAAUACAUGCAAGUCGAGCGGACAGAAGGGAGCUUGCUCCCGGAAGUUAGCGGCGGACGGGUGAGUGACACGUGGGCAACCUACCCUGUAGAUCGGGAUAACAUCGAGAAAUCGGUGCUAAUACCGGAUAAUCAUUUGAAGUGCAUGCUUCGAAUGUAAAAGAUGGCUCCGGCUAUCACUACGGGAUGGGCCCGCGGCGCAUUAGCUAGUUGGUAAGGUAAUGGCUUACCAAGGCAACGAUGCGUAGCCGACCUGAGAGGGUGAUCGGCCACACUGGGACUGAGACACGGCCCGGACUCCUACGGGAGGCAGCAGUAGGGAAUCUUCCGCAAUGGACGAAAGUCUGACGGAGCAACGCCGCGUGAGUGAUGAAGGUUUUCGGAUCGUAAAGCUCUGUUGUUAGGGAAGAACAAGUGCCGUUUGAAUAAGGCGGCACCUUGACGGUACCUAACCAGAAAGCCACGGCUAACUACGUGCCAGCCGCCGCCGUAAGAC